rnacentral:rRNA from 1 species
GACGAACGCUGGCGGCGUGCUUAACACAUGCAAGUCGAACGGAAAGGCCCUGCUUUUGUGGGGUGCUCGAGUGGCGAACGGGUGAGUAACACGUGAGUAACCUGCCCUUGACUUUGGGAUAACUUCAGGAAACUGGGGCUAAUACCGGAUAGGAGCUCCUGCUGCAUGGUGGGGGUUGGAAAGUUUCGGCGGUUGGGGAUGGACUCGCGGCUUAUCAGCUUGUUGGUGGGGUAGUGGCUUACCAAGGCUUUGAUGGGUAGCCGGCCUGAGAGGGUGACCGGCCACAUUGGGACUGAGAUACGGCCCAGACUCCUACGGGAGGCAGCAGUGGGGAAUAUUGCACAAUGGGCGGAAGCCUGAUGCAGCAACGCCGCGUGCGGGAUGACGGCCUUCGGGUGGUAAACCGCUUUCGCCUGUGACGAAGCGUGAGUGACGGUAAUGGGUAAAGAAGCACCGGCUAACUACGU